GGAGGCGUGGCCGAGCGGUUCAUGGCGCUGGUCUUGAAAACCAGUUGAGACGCAAGUCUCUCACAGGUUCGAAUCCUGUCGCCUCCG
rnacentral:tRNA from 1 species